AAUGUCACAAGUUGGUAAACCCUUUGGAGGUCUAGCAUAUUCCUGUCCCAUUUUUAGCAAACAAGGUUCUCCCCAUAAAAAGGACAGAGAUAGGGAGAAGAAAAAGAAGCAAUGUCUAUAAUGCUCGACUGCCACGAGGAAUUAAUUCCUGUGCGUCUUCCCAAAACGUAGACUAGUCACGGGAUCCGCCCACCCGAGAUGGUGGCCACGGAUCAGUACGGGUGAGCGUGGGUGACUAACACAGCUCUGGGCAACAAGUACAGGCGAGGGAGAGAAUCAGAGAGAAAGUGAACGUAGAAAAACUAAUCAACAAACAUUUACAAGAAUCACAACUACGGAGAUGUGCGCAUAAUCCGGAAUCGAGU